AGAUUCCCCACCAAGUUACCAACAUAUACUCCAGGCUUUGAAUGAACCUUCAGAACACAGCUGCAGCCAUCAUGGAAAUCUGGAAAAGGUACUCAGUCUGCAGCCAAAGACUAUCUGCUCUCUAUGAUCAAGAACAACCUCUCCAUCUCUUACAGGAAUAGACACUGACAGCUACCAAAAGAAUAUCUGUCUGUUCCUCUUCCUCUGGAAACUGCAGGCUGCACUAGAGAAGUCCAAGGGUGAGAGAAACUACAAAUGGAGAAGGGAAAGGACAUCUGAGAGUCUUCACUAAAUAAUCAGAAGACUGAUGGAUUUCAGACAAAGACAGGAGUUAUAUAAUGCAUUCCUCCUCUGUGAGUAAUCAUAUGCAAAGAUUGACAUGUUUGUGAGUGUUCCCAAAACUGAUCCUGGGCUUACUGCGGCCGUUCCUGCAUGAAAAAAACAUCAGUCAGAGGGAAAGAGGAAAAAGAAAGAGAGGGAGGAAAAAAAAGGAAAGAAGUGUGAUUGUGCUCCUAGGACAACAUCCUGAAUUUUUCCCUGGUGGACCCUUGCCAUUACCAUGGCAAAAUGCCUGGAAACUGCCGUUCUUUUCCACAAAAAAAUGUUUUGAAGGAAGAACAAAAGAAGUUUGAGCUUUUGGCAGAUCAUUGAAGAUCACUGUGUUCAGAUCCUCAGCUGGUGUAAAUCAAGAUAACUGCAGUAUUGCUACAGUAGUUAAAAACUGACUGACUCUCCCAUCUAUCAUGACUUGCUGCUAUGGGGGAAUAUUUCUUUACAGCUUAAAUAGAGGAAAGAAUUUCUUUUACUGCAUGUUGCAUGUCUUCGUGUUAAGAAAAUAUUUUUUAUCCUUAAUUGCUUAAGCUCCCUUGUGUAUAUAAGGUGGUGGUGCCUUCUGUCAUGGAGGUGUUUGCUGUGUGUGACACCUUGCUUUAUUUCUUUGGUUUGCUAGUUGAAUGACAUGUUAAUCUGCUGUGAAGGUGCAUAAUAGGAUCAAUGGGAAUCAGGAAGUAUGUUUUAAAUUAAAAAGAGGUCCUUUCUUUGUCUGA